UGCCCAAGAGUUCACAUCGACGGCAAGGUUUGGCACCUCGAUGUCGGCUCAUCGCAUCCUGGGGCUGGAGCAGGUCCCAAGGGUUUGGCUGUUCGCCCAUUAAAGCGGUACGCGAGCUGGGUUCAGAACGUCGUGAGACAGUUCGGUCCCUAUCUGCCAUGGGCGUUGGAGAGUUGAGAGGAGUCGUCCCUAGUACGAGAGGACCGGGAUGAACGGACCUCUGGUGUACCAGUUGUCCCGCCAGGGGCAUCGCUGGUUAGCUACGUCCGGAUGGGAUAACCGCUGAAAGCAUCUAAGCGGGAAGCCCACCUCGAGAUGAGCUCUCCCAUCCCCUUUGAGGGAGUAAGGACCCUGGAAGACCACCAGGUGAUAGGCCGGAUGUGUAAGCGCGGUGACGCGCUCAGCAGACCGGUACUAAUUGUCCGAGGGCUUGACGGA
rnacentral:rRNA from 1 species